AGUAACACGUAGGCAACCUGCCCCUAAGACCGGGAUAACAUUCGGAAACGAAUGCUAAGACCGGAUACGCAAGCCUGUCGCAUGACGGGCUUGGGAAACACGGAGCAAUCUGUGGCUUGGGGAUGGGCCUGCGGCGCAUUAGCUAGUUGGUGGGGUAACGGCUCACCAAGGCGACGAUGCGUAGCCGACCUGAGAGGGUGAACGGCCACACUGGGACUGAGACACGGCCCAGACUCCUACGGGAGGCAGCAGUAGGGAAUCUUCCACAAUGGGCGAAAGCCUGAUGGAGCAACGCCGCGUGAGUGAGGAAGGCUUUCGGGUCGUAAAGCUCUGUUGCCAGGGAAGAAUAAGGAUGUGUUAACUGCACAUUCGAUGACGGUACCUGAGAAGAAAGCCCCGGCUAACUACGUGCCAGCAGCCGCGGUAAUACGUAGGGGGCAAGCGUUGUCCGGAAUUAUUGGGCGUAAAGCGCGCGCAGGCGGUCUUUUAAGUCUGGUGUCUAAGUGCGGGGCUCAACCCCGUGAUGCACUGGAAACUGGGAGACUUGAGUGCAGAAGAGGAGAGCGGAAUUCCACGUGUAGCGGUGAAAUGCGUAGAGAUGUGGAGGAACACCAGUGGCGAAGGCGGCUCUCUGGACUGUAACUGACGCUGAGGCGCGAAAGCGUGGGGAGCAAACAGGAUUAGAUACCCUGGUAGUCCACGCCGUAAACGAUGAGUGCUAGGUGUUGGGGGGGUCCACCCCUCGGUGCCGAAGUUAACACAUUAAGCACUCCGCCUGGGGAGUACGGUCGCAAGACUGAAACUCAAAGGAAUUGACGGGG
rnacentral:rRNA from 1 species